GGUCGGGCCAUCCCGCUCACUCUUUUGUUUAAAAAAAAAAAAAAAAAGGAGGCGACCUCGCUGAUUGGCUCCGCGGGGCUACUUUAAGGGCCUCGUGGGCGGGCCCGAAGCUGUCGUUAGCUGAGCUGAGGGGCGCGCGCGCGGCGGUUGGAGCUGCGCGGGUCCGUCGCUUCGUGUGCCGGCGGCCCGCUUUCGCCUCAGAUUGGACAGAGAAUCUCUGUGGAGGCCUUUGCCCUACAGGUUGCCACUGCUGUGGUUAGGGUUGCAUACCUAAAGGUGAAGAUUGUGUGACCCCUGACACUGAACAAGGGGGAGACCCAGGAAAAACCCUGACAGCACAGCCUCACCUCAUCAGGCUGCAACUAUGCCCAAAGCCACCCCAGCAGCACCCCGUUUCUCUGCUUCCUACACCCAGGCCAAGACAACACCCACAGCCAGCCGACCGAAGAGUGCUCAGGCUGCUGGGAGUUCAGGCACCAGCAGGGCACAGACAGACAAGCCAACCAGCAGCACCACUGCAAGAAGAGCUGGGCAAAGCUCUUCCCAAUCAAGGGCCACUGCACACAUGGCAGUGAUCAAGGAGACACCAAGAUAAGCUACAGAGUGUCAGCUAAGAACCCCUCAGUGACUAGUGGAAGGAAACCCUGCUCCACAUCAGCUAAAGCACCUGUCGGUGUCGACCCCUGCCUGGAAAGGAAUCAAUCCAGCCGCUCUUGGGCCAAUACCACUGGCCAGGGCACAGCAAGCAAAUUUCCCUCCCUGCUGACAACAGAAGAUGUGGUGAAAAUGGAGAGGGAAACCCAGGGCCAGAGGGACAAUCCCGAGUGGCAGGAAAACCGCAUCACAGCCUCAGUCGCACUCAGGAUUGCUAACAGCAAGUUUGUCACUGGCAAGAGCUCAGAGGUGCCCCAGUCUUACCUUAAGGCUGUGGUGAGCUCCGGUUCCAAAGUGCAGAUCACCAGCCAUGUCCUGGGGCACCCAAAAUGAGAAAAAGGCAGUGCAGGCAUAUGAGGAGCUCCAAUCCAGGACGACAGGUAGCCUGUGAAUGUGGAGGAGUGUGGUCUCUUCAUUCACCAAGGGAGGAGUGGCUCGCAGCCAGCCCAGAUGGAAUUGUCAGAGAAGCAGAUACCAAGAAGCUGCUGGAGGUCAAGUUCCCUAUAACACAGACAAGACAGUGAAAGAGGCCCUGUAAGGACAAAGCCUUCUGCCUGGAAGUGGAUGAUGAUCCUUCUCCUUGAAGAGAAACCAUCCCUACUACACUCAGGUGCAGUUGCCAGCUGGCAACAACAGGCUUGGACAGGGCUGAUUUUGUGGCUCACACCAACAAAGAUACAGUCGUCGUCUCAGUGGACUUUGAUGCAGUGUUCUGGGAGAAAACUGAAGCCCAAGCUGAGAAGUUCUACACGGAGACUGUGAUUCCCCACCUAGAGAAGAGAAGCAACUCAGUUUGGGCUCAGAAGAACAAAGUAAUGGGGACAUCUGGCCACUACCCACCAGGGACUUCUGGUCUCCACCAGAUGCCAUGAUAGUCCAUUAAUCUAUCUCUGGUUCUGCUGUAGCAGAACUAUGGGUUCUAGAAUAUGCCUCCUGAGCCUAGACUCUUCCUCCUUCUUUAGAUUGUGAGGUCCAUGAGGGCCAGGAUAGUAUCUGCCUUUGUCUCCUACUGAGAGACAGUCAAUGAUUCUGUCCUAGCUGCAGAAAUACUUUUGUCAUUUGAUGCUUCUGUGUGUGUGCAGACAAAAUUCAAAUUACCAUAAUCUCUGGGGAAAGUAAGUUGGGUUGUUAGACUCACUCUGUGGAGGGGGCUGGGUUCCAUUUAAUGGUCUGGAGUAAAAGUCUAGGACUAAACUUGAAUUUUAGUCCAAGGAUCCUUGCUGCUGUCAGGGCAGGCUUGAAGAUAAAAUGUAAGGUAUGGUUCUCACUUUUGUACUGGUGACUUCUGAGGAUGACCCCUCAUUUAAUAAAUUAAAUACACUAUUAAACCAUUAUAAAUGUUGGAGGUAAAAUGUGGUUUGGGUUGGAGGCUGACAGUUUGUGACACCCCCCCCUGCAAGGGGACCUCCCAGUUUUGAGAACCCCUGCUUAAGGGAGUAACUAAACUUAUGGCCUUAUUGUCACUGCAACAUCACACACAGCUGUUUUCCCAGGCUACUGUCUUGUAUUCACUCCCACCACCCUCUUUCCCUGAGUGAGCUUAAUUGCUGAUUGUUAACAGACUAAUUUCUUAUAUUUAAAGUAUUGUUUAGCAUUAGCAUCAAAUCUUGCCCCCAUGAGAAUGUGAGGGAAGAGCUUACACCUCAGAGCUACUCUUUCAAGCUACCUGCAAAGUCGGAAGAAAAUGCCAUCAGUUAACUUUUCAAGGGUGACCCAAGUACCACCACAACAUGAGAUCCCACUCUUUUUAAUGCAAGUUUAUUUCUCUAGUAGCAGGACUGUCAUGUACAUAACUUGCCUUGGUAUACAAGAUCACUGUUUUGUUCAAAUUGAUCCUGUUUUGGAAACUAAAGUAUAUCUAAACAAAACAUU